GUGCCUAAUACAUGCAAAGUCGAGCGAGCUUGCCUAUUUGAAAAUUCUUUCGGGAAUGGGACAUAGAUACAAGCUAGCGCGGAUGGGGUGAGUAACGCGUGGGUAACCCUGCCCUUAAGUCUGGGAUACCAUUUGGAAACAGAUGCUAAUACCGGAUAAAAAGCUACUUUCGCAUGAAAGAAGUUUUAAAAAAGGCGGCGUAAGCUGUCGCUAAAGGAUGGACCUGCGAUGCAUUAGCUAGUUGGUAAGGUAAAGGCUUACCAAGGCGAUGAUGCAUAGCCGAGUUGAGAGACUGAUCGGCCACAUUGGGACUGAGACACGGCCCAAACUCCUACGGGAGGUAGCAGUAGGGAAUCUUCCACAAUGGACGCAAGUCUGAUGGAGCAACGCCGCGCGAGUGAAGAAGGUUUUCGGAUCGUAAAGCUCUGUUGUUGGUGAAGAAGGAUAGAGGUAGUAACUGGCCUUUAUUUGACGGUAAUCAACCAGAAAGUCACGGGCUAACUACGUGCCAGCAGCCGCGGUAAAU
rnacentral:rRNA from 1 species